rnacentral:antisense_RNA from 1 species
CUUCAGCGAGCCGAGCCACAGCGGGCGGCCCGCGGGCCGGUCCCGGCCGUAGACGGCGAGCAGCGCCUGGGCCUC